rnacentral:rRNA from 1 species
AUUGAACGCUGGCGGCAGGCCUAACACAUGCAAGUCGAGCGGAGCGGCGGAGGCGUGAGUGAUGGUUAGGAAUCUGACUGGUAGUGAGGGAUAAGGUCCGCUACCGGGCGCUAAUGCCGAAUACUAUCAGCUGAGCCUAGGUCGGAUUAGCAAGUUGGGGGGGUAAAGGCCUACCAAGGCGACGAUCCGUACCUGGUCUGAGAGGAUGAUCAGUCACACUGGAACUGAGACACGGUCCAGACUCCUACGGGAGGCAGCAGUGGGGAAUAUUGGACAAUGGGCGAAAGCCUGAUCCAGCCAUGCCGCGUGUGUGAAGAAGGUCUUCGGAUUGUAAAGCACUUUAAGUUGGGAGGCGUUACCAACAGAAUAAGCACCGGCUAACUUCGUGCCAGCAGCCGCGGUAAUUC